CUUUUGUUGCUGGGUUUGGAAAGUGGUGUUAAAAGAAGAGGGUUUUGGUUACAAACAAAAAAGGAAAGUGUUCUUCACUUUCUAGUUGCUGAUUUUGAUCCAUUUUUGGUGUGGUUUUGAAUUGUUGAGCAAGUGUUCAAGCUUCCCUUGAGGUCAUAGCAUGGAUGGUGUGGAGGGUGUUCCUCCUCAGCUGUAGACAGAGUCGGGGCUGGUGUUGUUGUGUUAUAUUCCGCAUAAUAGACUAUGUUUUGUAUUAUAUUUCCUAGAAGUUUCCUGGCAUGUAAUAAAUUUUCUUUCAGACUUUAAAACUUUAAAGUUUUAAUAUUUGCAUCUUAUCUAUUUA